rnacentral:lncRNA from 1 species
UCUCUUGACCUCGUGAUCCACCUGUCUCAGCCUCCCAAAGUGCUGGGAUUACAGGCAUGAGCCACCAUGCCUGGCCAACGCUGGGCUCUUGAACAAGGCGUUCAAAGCAACUUUCUGCUCUCUUAUACUCUCGGGCUAGAGGCCUCCUAGAACUGAUGGCUCAAACAAACCUUGCUGACAUUACAGACCACACAUGGUCUUCUAAACGGGUCUUCUCCACUGUGUGCAGCUUUACUUAGGCUCGACCCCAGCCUUUAGGGCCCCCUACUUUGUCCUGAUCAUCAGACUUACUGGCACCUUAGAGUACAACCCAUAACACAUGCUUCUUUCUUUCUUUUUCUUUUUCUUUCUUUUUUUUUUUUUUUUUUUUUUUGAGACAGAGUCACGCUCUGUUGCCCAGGCUGGAGUGCAGUGGCACGAUCUGGGCUCACUGCAAGUUCUGCCUCCAGGGUUCACGCCAUUCUCCUGCCUUAGCCUCCCGAAUAGCUGGGACUACAGGCGCCUGCCACCAUGCCCGGCUAAUUUUUUGUGUGUUUUUAAUAGAGACAGGGUUUCACCGUGUUAGCCAGGAUGGUCUCGAUCUCCUGACCUCGUGAUCCGCCCGCCUCAGCCUCCCAAAGCGCUGGGAUUACAGGCGUGAGCCGCCGCGCCCGGCCACCAUCUUUAGUUUCUACAGGAGAACUACACAUCCGAUGCUUCUAGCUUCCUUGGCUAUUGUUUUAGGCUACCGUUACCUUCUUGCUUAUCAAGUUGCAUAUUUACUUCUUGGGGCUAACUAGGUGACUGAAAUUUACCUUGAAGAAAAGCAAGAUUGUUCUUUAUUUCUAUGCCUGGGAGAUCCACAGGCCGUGAAGAGGGAGUCCCUGCUCCAUCUCACACCCACUCCCAAACCUCCUCUUGAGACAAGUGUGCUAAUUUUCUGCUCAUUGCACAUACUUUUUGGGCCACCACGGGCACUGCCUUAGGCACACAUGAUGUCAUCCUGUCAACUCAAACCAUGAAGCCAUCGGAAAACGUUCAGCACACUCUAACCACACGCAGCAGAGAGCUAAUGCUUUAGAUGCUUUCCGUGAAGGACAACGCUCCCUGGCAGACUCGACAGCUGAUGACUGCUUGGCUCCGGGCUAUUUGUUGGCCAGCCAGGGAGAGUUAUGUUCCCUUAAAGGGGCUGCUGGCUAUACGUGGGUACUGGAAAGUUUCCACAAAUAACAAUUGUUGGGGACCAGCCUUAACAUCACCCGUAGGGUACCCAAAGUCCAGUGGUGACGAAGGAAUGAGAAGAGACAGGUUAAGAGUGCAUAAAGAGGCAAGGUGCAGUGGCUCACGCCUAUAAUCCCAGCACUUUGGGAGGCUGAGGCGGGUGGAUCACAAGGUCAGGAGAUCGAGAGCAUCCUGGCUAACGCAGUGAAACCCUGUCUCUACUAAAAAUACAAAAAAUUAGCCGGGCAUGGUGGCGGGCACCUGUAGUCCCAGCUACUUGGGAGGCUGAGGCAGAAGAAUGAUGUGAACCCAGGAGGCGGAGCUUACAGUGAGCCGAGAUCGCGACACUGCACUCCAGCCUGAGAGACUCCGUCUGAAAACAACAACAAAACAAAAAAAAAAACAAAGAAGGUCAAUAUCUCUGAGGGGCAGAUACUAGGCUCUGAGGCAGCACGUGAGAGGACGGCAUACAGAGGUUUAGCAAAGGAGCAAAAGUAGGAAUUCUCAGUGAAGAGAGCCAGCUGCUCCUAGAAUUAUACAUAUCUUUUUGUUGUUGUUGUUGUUUUGUUUGUUUUUUUAGACAGAGUCUUGCUCUGUUGCCCAGGCUGGAGUGCAGUGCCACGAUCUCGGCUCACUGCAACCUCUGCCUCCUGGGUUCAAGCAAUUCUCCUGCCUCAGCCUCCUGAGUAGCUGGGACUACAGGCGUGAGCCACCACGCCCAGCUUUUUUUUGCAUUUUUAGUAGAGACAGGGUCUCCCUGUGUUAGCCAGGAUAGUCUCGAUCUCUUGACCUCAUGAUCCACCCACCUUGGCCUCCCAAAGUGCUGGGAUUACAGGCGUGAGCCACUUCACCCGGCCCAUACCUGCUUUUAUUUUGCGGAGAGCGAUGGAUAAAAUUGAUUCAAGGUGUUCUGGGUGAGCUUUGGGUGCCCUGAGAUACCUCGCAUCCUAAGUAAUAGCUAUCUACACCCACUGAAAUUUAGAUUGGGAGACUUUAUGGCUUAAUUCAGCUAGUGUCUCUAGGAGAAUGAGGAAAUCCAUAAGACCACCUUGCUUAGUUUGGCUACAAAGGCAUCAUCAGUAUACUGAACACGAGUAGAGCCUUGGAUAAAUGUUACAAAGUCUGAGUAGGCCUUAAGGACUUGGGAAAAUAUGGAUGGGGUACCAGCAAUAUUCCUGAGGUGUGCAGGCCAUACCCACUGUCCUCCUCUAAACAGAAGUGCAAAGAGGAACUGUGAAUCAGGACGCAAAGGAAUGGAAAAGACAGCUGAGCAGAGGUCCAUUCAUGCAAACCAGGCUGCAGACACAGGAACUAGGGUAAAAAUAGUGGGAACUGUAGGGUGGUGAGGAACUACAAGAAUUAUGGCUAUUAGAUUUUGUAAAAUUGGUAACUUUGGUGCUCAUCAAAGUCAAACUUCCCUUCUCAUCUUUACGGGCAAGACUGGGGUAUUAUAGUGGGAGAAAGUAAAGAUAAUGGACACUGUGCUGUAAUAAAGUCUAGUAUAGAUUCAGUUCCUUGUUCUGCAUAUUGACACGAGAGGGCAUUGAGCUAUUGAUUGAAAAGGCUUAGGCUGGACGCGGUGGCUCCCACCUGUAAUCCCAGCACUUUGGGAGGCCAAGGCGGGCGGAUCAAGAGGUCAGGAGAUCGAGACCAUCCUGGCUAACACGGUGAAACCCCAUC